rnacentral:rRNA from 1 species
CGAAAGCCUGACGGAGCAAUACCGCGUGAGGGAGGAAGGCUCUUGGGUUGUAAACCUCUUUUCUCAGGGAAGAAAAAAAUGACGGUACCUGAGGAAUAAGCAUCGGCUAACUCCGUGCCAGCAGCCGCGGUAAUACGGAGGAUGCAAGCGUUAUCCGGAAUGAUUGGGCGUAAAGGGUCCGCAGGUGGCAUUGUAUGUCUGCUGUUAAAGAGUUUGGCUCAACCAAAUCAAAGCAGUGGAAACUACAAAGCUAGAGUAUGGUCGGGGCAGAGGGAAUUCCUGGUGUAGCGGUGAAAUGCGUAGAUAUCAGGAAGAACACCRGUGGCGAAGGCGCUCUGCUAGGCC